rnacentral:rRNA from 1 species
UACAGAGGUCUCAAGCGUUGUUCGGAUUCAUUGGGCGUAAAGGGCGCGUAGGCGGCGGGGUCAGUCGGGUGUGAAAUCUUGGGGCUUAACCCCGAAACGGCACUCGAAACUGCCCGGCUGGAGGGCCGGAGAGGAGAUCGGAAUUCACGGUGUAGCAGUGAAAUGCGUAGAUAUCUGGAGGAACACCGGUGGCGAAGGCGGCAUCCUGGACCGGUAUUGACGCUGAGGCGCGAAAGCUAGGGGAGCAAACGGG